rnacentral:rRNA from 1 species
UACGUAGGGUGCGAGCGUUGUCCGGAAUUACUGGGCGUAAAGAGCUCGUAGGUGGUUUGUCGCGUUGUUCGUGAAAACUCACAGCUUAACUGUGGGCGUGCGGGCGAUACGGGCAGACUGGAGUACUGCAGGGGAGACUGGAAUUCCUGGUGUAGCGGUGGAAUGCGCAGAUAUCAGGAGGAACACCGGUGGCGAAGGCGGCUCUCUGGAACGCAACUGACGCUGAAGACGCGAAAGCGUGGGGAGCAAACAGG